rnacentral:rRNA from 1 species
UACGGAGGAUGCGAGCGUUAUCCGGAUUUAUUGGGUUUAAAGGGUGCGUAGGCUGUUGGAUAAGUCAGCGGUGAAAUCACCACGCUUAACGUGUUGUGUGCCGUUGAAACUGUCCGGCUUGAAUGCGCUCGUCGUGAGAGGAAUGUGUGGUGUAGCGGUGAAAUGCAUAGAUAUCACACAGAACACCGAUUGCGAAGGCAUCUCACGAGGGCGCUAUUGACGCUGAUGCACGAAAGCGCGGGUAUCGAACAGG